AGAGGUCUGUGCUCCCAGGGCCUCCACACAGCCAGGAGUGGAGACCAAGGAGGCCCAACGGGCAGUGCCGACUAAAACUUACUAGACGUUUUCUGGAAUACCCGAGUCUAAUCCCCGCCUUCAGUCUCUGCAGAUACAAAACAGAAGACUGAAUCAUCUGGGUGAAGUCUUAGGGGGAAAAUAUAAAGUCAUUCAGAAAGCAUAGCACUCAAUUUUUAAUCUAUUUUUUGCUAAAUAUUUAAUAGAGUGGAAGCUCCACCCCUUCCAGCAUGUAUUUUCUCCAUCACACGACGAGGAAGCCUCUCUCUUGCUCUGUGUUCUGUCUCUGAUGUCUUUUGCACUUUCCCCUGCAUGGGCUCACAGUCUAUGAAUGAACCAAGCACAACGAGCCAAGGAAAGAAUUAGGUGGCGUCAGGAGGUUUAGAGAAUCGUUUAGACUGUGGGACCGUGACACAGUUCUGGACACUCCAUACAUCACCACCGCUAGUGCCGAAGCUCUUAAGAAAGAGAUGGGCAGCAUCUCCCACACACGUAUGAUCACAGGACCUCCUUCCCAAAGUACCUCCUGUGGCCUUUGGGCUGUGGACACAGGCCAGGAAAUCUGAGCUGCGUGGCUGACACUCAGGCCUUCUCAGCUCACAGCGUGAGCAGCCGGGGUCAGAUGAAGCCCUCGGAGGGAGCGAACACAUUCAUAACAUCACCCUUCUGCUCAGUUCCCCCUUGAGCAGAGUGGCUCAUGCCUGGCUGUGGGGUGCAGGGAGACAGGGCAGCUGGAAGAAGCCUGGUGUGCUCGCCCGAGAGACGAGGAGACACGUUUCCGUCACUCACGAUUUCAUAUUCUGCUCUCCUCCAGGAGCCCUGUUUGUGGCUCAGGGUGUUGGCAGCAGAGAUGACCCCGAUGGAUGGUGUCAGGGGCCCCCAGUGUGAAUGGGCUUCCUGUGAACCUGGAGAAGCCUUUCUGGGUGUCCUGUUGGCCGCCCAGAGCAGUGAUGCUGCCAAGCCCAAGGGACUGCCCACGUCCCAGCUGCAUUUGGGAAACCCUGGUCUGAGGUCAGCACCCUCGAGGGAGCAGGACAUCCUCAGGGGAGGGCAGGCCUUGGUCUGCUGUGGUUGAGACUUUGCAGCUUUGAGGGUGAAAUCGAGGCUAAGGGCCUGCACAGCAGCAGCCAGCCCUGGAGGGCGGGCACCUUCCUGGGGCGAGACCUCAGCACCACUCUCAGCCUUGGGUCGAGGGCACCAGCCGGCACAGGCUCCUGCUGCUCCACCUCAUCUUCUGCCUCCUCUCCGCUGGGAGAGUCGGGACUAACGGGGGAGCCGGAGGCCCCUGGCAACCUGCAGAGCCUGCUACCUCCCAGCUACCCCCACCCCACCCUGUUCAAUCCUCCCCUGUAGCCUCAGGCAAGGAUUAGGUGUGUUGCUGCUUAGAAGGGGAUUGGGCACCCAGGGAGACCAGGCUUAUCUCCAUGAGCAUCUUCAGAUACAGAGAACCCAAGCCUAUCAUGAUUGGCUGGAGCUGGGAGGAUAAAACAAUACCAAAUCACCAUCAGAAGAGGAGCUAUACACUGACUCUAGCUUUGAGGCCUAGUUCUCAAGUUUCUAACAUUGCUGGCUUUGCCUCAAUGCAGAGUGAAUGGAAAACCUCAAUGUGACUGAAGUGAGCCCAUGGCUCCCUCUGCUAUCAGGAAAUCCCUAAUACAUGCUUAUUGGAGAUGUUUCUGGGGUCUCUGCUCUGCCUCGUGACUGCGAGCCUCAACCCUGGAUCGGGGCUGUCCUGGUUCCACGUCCAGGCCUCAGGCCACAGGCACCAUCCUCAGGCUCAGUCUCCCUGGCUGUAAAACGGGGUCAGUAACAGGCAGGAGGCCUGGAGGAGGUCAGUGGUGCACAGAGGCAC
ensembl:lncRNA